rfam:Bacillus sp. MRMR6 scaffold_23, whole genome shotgun sequence.
GGAGGAAUACCCAAGUUCGGCUGAAGGGAUCGGUCUUGAAAACCGACAGGCGGGUCAAACCGCGCGGGGGUUCGAAUCCCUCUUCCUCCU